UCGGGAAUUUUGCGCAAUGGACGAAAGUCUGACGCAGCAACGCCGCGUGAGGGAUGACGGCCUUCGGGUUGUAAACCUCUUUUGUCAGGGAAGAUGAUGACGGUACCUGACGAAUAAGUCACGGCUAACUACGUGCCAGCAGCCGCGGUAAUACGUAGGUGACAAGCGUUGUCCGGAUUUACUGGGCGUAAAGAGCGCGCAGGCGGUCGAUCAAGUCGAGUGUGAAAGCCCCCGGCUCAACUGGGGAGGGUCAUUCGAAACUGAUCGACUCGAAGGCAGGAGAGGGAAGUGGAAUUCCCGGUGUAGUGGUGAAAUGCGUAGAUAUGUGGAGGAAUACCGAUGGCGAAGGCAGCCCCCUGGGAUAACACUGACGCUCAUGCACGAAAGCGUGGGGAGCAAACAGGAUUAGAUACCCCAGUAGUCCCUGAGCGGGCUGGCAAGGCGCAU
rnacentral:rRNA from 1 species